rnacentral:tRNA from 1 species
GUUGGUGGUUCAGUGGUAGAAUUCUCACCUUCUAUGUGAUUUUUUUUUUUUUUUUUAUGUGAGAGACCCAGGUUCAACUCCUGGCCGAUACA